AACGAACGCUGGCGGCAGGCUUAACACAUGCAAGUCGAGCGGAAGUUGGAGAGCUUGCUCUUCAACUUUAGCGGCGGACGGGUGAGUAACACGUGGGCAACCUGCCCUGCAGAUCGGGAUAACUCCGGGAAACCGGUGCUAAUACCGAAUAGUUUUCGCCACCUCCUGGUGGCGUACGGAAAGACGGUUUCGGCUGUCACUGCAGGAUGGGCCCGCGGCGCAUUAGCUAGUUGGUGGGGUAACGGCCCACCAAGGCAACGAUGCGUAGCCGACCUGAGGGGGUGAUCGGCCACACGGGGAAUGAGGCACGGCCCAGACUCCUACGGGAGGCAGCAGUAGGGAAUCUUCCACAAUGGACGAAAGUCUGACGGAGCAACGCCGCGUGAGUGACGAAGGUUUUCGGAUCGUAAAACUCUGUUGUGAGGGAAGAACAAGUACCAACUAACUACUGGUACCUUGACGGUACCUCACCAGAAAGCCACGGCUAACUACGUGCCAGCAGCCGCAGUAAAAC
rnacentral:rRNA from 1 species